AAGAAGAUGAAGAGCGAACAUUCCCCAUUGCUGGUGUAAUGAGGACGACUUCCGGAUGGUAUAUAAAUACCAAGAAUGUCCACUAGAUUUCAUCCAAUAUCUCAUCUCUUCAACGGUAUAUACCUCUCAAAUAUUUAAAGAUGGCUGCAGUCCUCAAUAUUCUAACCAUAUUCCUUGUUCUAGCUCUUGUU